rnacentral:rRNA from 1 species
UGGGGAAUAUUGCACAAUGGGCGAAAGCCUGAUGCAGCAACGCCGCGUGAGUGAUGAAGGUCUUCGGAUUGUAAAGCUCUGUCUUUUGGGACGAUAAUGACGGUACCAAAGGAGGAAGCCACGGCUAACUACGUGCCAGCAGCCGCGGUAAUACGUAGGUGGCGAGCGUUGUCCGGAUUUACUGGGCGUAAAGGGUGCGUAGGCGGAUGUUUAAGUGAGAUGUGAAAUACCCGGGCUUAACUUGGGUGCUGCAUUUCAAACUGGAUAUCUAGAGUGCAGGAGAGGAGAAUGGAAUUCCUAGUGUAGCGGUGAAAUGCGUAGAGAUUAGGAAGAGCACCAGUGGCGAAGGCGAUUCUCUGGACUGUAACUGACGCUGAGGCACGAAAGCGUGGGUAGCAAACAGGAUUAGAUACCCUGGUAGUCCACGCCGUAAAACGAUGAGUACUAGGUGUAGGAGGUAUCGACCCCUUCUGUGCCGCAGUAAACACAUUAAGUACUC